AGUGGUGACUGACAGCAGAGAUUAAUCGUUUACGAUUAGGAAAAUUCCUAUGAACUAUGUCUGACACGGGAGUCGAAUCCGUGACAUAUAGGGCGUGAGUCCAUCGCUCUACCGAUUGAGGUACCUGGACUGUGGAUAAAACCAUUAA